GGGCCUGUAGUUCAGCUGGUUAGAAUGCCUGCUUUGCAAGCAGGAGGUCAAGGGUUCGAAUCCCUUCAGGUCCA
rnacentral:tRNA from 1 species